rnacentral:lncRNA from 1 species
CUUUUUUUUUUUUUUUUUUUUUUUUUUUUUGUCUUUUUGCCAUUUCUUGGGCUGCUCCUGCAGAAUGUGGAGGUUCCCAGGCUAGGGGUCGAAUCGGAGCUGCGGAGCUGUAGCCACAGGCCUACACCAGAGCCACAGCAACAAGGGAUCCGAGCCGCGUCUGCAACCUACACCACAGCUCACGGCAAUGCCUACACCACAGCUCACGGCAAUGCUGGAUAGUUAACCCACUGAGCAAGGGCAGGGACCGAACCCGCAACCUCAUGGUUCCCAGUCGGAUUCGUUAACCACUGCGCCACGGGAACUCCCACACGUGCCCCUUCUUGAAGGGACAAGGUAAUUCAAAGGGGAAAGGGCAAUCUUCAACAAAUGUGGCAGGAAUUACUGGAUAUCUAUACAGGAAAAAAAAUGAACCUCAACCCUUAUCUCAUAUCAUAUAAAAAUUAACUUGAAAUAGAUCAUAAAACAAAACCAAAGCGAAAACCAUAAAACUCCUAGAGGAAAACAAAAGAGAAAAUCUCUGAGACCUUGAGGUAGGCAAUGAUUUUUUUACUCAGACACAAAAGACUUGAAACAUAAAAUUAAAAAACUAAUAAAUUUAAUAACAUGAGUCCUCAGGCUACUGCCUAGGCAGUUCGGGCCAGCUUGGCACCUAGAUGAGUCUCUCUCUGCUUAUUUUUGCACUGUGUUAACAAGCAUGUUGAACUGACCCUUGGCUGAAGCUCCUGAGUUCUUCUUAACUUGAGGAAAACUGCUCUAUCCCAGCUUGCCAAAGCUCUCUGUACUGGACUGGGUCUCAAUCCCACCUAAUAAUAAAAUGUGAAUUUGCCUUUCUUUCCCUUUGUUCUUUGUAAAUGUAUAUCUUUGUAAAUACAUAAGGAAAAGGAGAGGCUGAGCUAAGACAGAAUUUAUGUUCUCCUGGGUCCUAUGCCAAAAUAAUAUCUAACACCAUCAAGACUCCCUGAUUAGCACAAUCUUCAUGUACUGCUGCCAUGUUUUGUCUCAUUCCGUCGUUUAAGGAUCAGUGUCAAGUUAAAUUAGACUCCUUAAACUUACUUAAUUGGAAACCAUACUUUUGACCCUUCCAGGAGAGGAAGAACUCUUCCCAGAAGGAUGUGUCUCCCAUAAUCCUCACUGUCACCUUUGGAAUACAUUAUAUCAGAUUGCUGUGAAUAUUGCCCCCAUUAUUGAACCUCAAGUCCACUAGAGGAUGUAGUCCUGGCUUAAGAAAGGGACAUGGACAUAAAGAUGUGUCUCCACUUGGUGAUAUGUUUUAGCUGCUUGAAACUCCCAUAAGGUUUCUAAUCUCCUGCCCUCAGGGUCAGGCCAAUGAGAUGGGCCAUAAAAACCUAAAGAUAAAAGUAGUCGAGGUUGAAGACAUCCCUUGAAGGGAGAGCACACAUCGGUGGUCUCAUAGCUAUGAAUCCAUUCACCCUACUUCUGGCUUUGUUCCUCCCUAGCCCUGAACCAGUGGAACCUAGCAAUUCCUGAAUUUCUGAUCAUGCUGAAACCUCCCUUCAGAACCUUAGGGUUUGCGAAAUGUCUGUAGCAUCAGAGAUGUUCCUUUGGAUGCAGUCCCAGUUGACCUGUUGUACCCAAACAUUGGUUGCUAUUUUGUCAUUAAUAAGAGCACAGAACUGAGGAGAGCUUUUGAGGUUUUGCAGCAUCUCUGUCUCAGUCUCUUCAGUUCAGUCAUUUUCUGGCCCUUGGAGACACAAUAUGGUCCUUAACUUCCAGAUAAUUACCCCCUGGUUAGUGAGAAACUAGUCCCAUAAUCUUUUGAACUAAGACCUGCUCUGUUUACAAGGCAGGUAUAAGAACCAAAUGAGAAAAUGUAGUAAACUACAUGCUCGAUAAAUUCACACACAUUCUACACAAAGGAAAUGUUGGAUAAAAUGUCUUCCAUUAGAGGAUGCAUUAAUGAGAUCCUAGCAGAAACCUUACGUGAGUUCUAGAUUUAAGUGACAAAAAUAAUCAUUUAAGCCAUCCACUGUCUUGAUAUCCUUAUAGAUCAUUAAAGAUGGUGUAUCAGCUGCUUUUUUAUGUUUUCCCUGUUUCCACUUAAACAACAUGGCCCCUUCCACCAGAACUCUGGAUCACUCUUCUAGCCAAAAAGGACAGUCUACACUUAAUAGGUCUGAGAUGGCAUUGAAAUGGGCUGUCUGCCUGUCCCUAGAACCGUUUUGGACUCCACCAUCAGCUUUCUGAAGAGAAAGGGAGUAUAAGUACCUAUCCUCAAUGUAAAAUUUAAGUCUUAUAACUGAUAAGUUGCAGAUUUAACUCAUGCUUAGCUUUCCACCCUCCUCCUCCUCAUGCCUACACUUACUCAGCCUCACUUGUCUCCUUUGUGUACAUUUCAAUAUCUCCACUGGAUCUUAACCUCACUUAAAGACUCCAAACUCUAUGUAUGUCUCCCUCAUCUUGAGGAGGCCUCCAUCAUUGUCCAGUUCAAUGCUUUGCACACAAUAAAUCCAAAUAGAUAUUUUAAAAUAAGUUGAUUAAUGCACUAAGCUUCUCUCAAAAACCACAGGUCAUUUGGGAACUGAGUAUGACUCAGUGGGACCCUUACUCCUUUGUCUGGGGUAUGGAUGGAUGUGAAAUGUGAAGUGGUCAACAGAGAAAGGGGGUUUCAAAAGGCACUGUUGCAAAAAAACUGAAAAGUUGUUAAUAUGGGCCCAAUCUUGGAGUUCUCACUGUGGCUCAAUGGUUAACAAACCUGACUAGUAUCCAUGAGUAGUGGGUUUGAUCCCUGGCCUUGUUCAGUGGGUUAAGCACCUGGCAUUUCCAUGAGCUGUGGUGUAAGUUGCAGACCUGCAAUGCUCUGGCUGUGGCAUAGGGUGGCAGGUAUAGCUCCGAUUGGACCCCUAGCCUGGGAACAUCCAUAUGCCGCAGGUGCAGCCCUAAAAAGGGUUAUACAUAUAUAUAUACACUAUAUAUAUAUACACCCAAUAUUUCCCAGAGGCACCACUAGCAACCUGGGGAUUACAGACCAUUAAACCUCAGCUUGGUAUCAGGACAAGAGAUGAAGAGUUAAAGAAAGACAGAACAGUACAACACAGAUAAGGUGGAUGUGACACUAGGUCUCAGCGUGGCUUUCCCUAGAGAGCCUGAGCUCUGCAGCCAGGCUGUUCUUUGAUAAGGAGAAUGAAGGAACAGACUGUUCAACAGGGUUGUACAAGGAUCAGAUUUGAUCAUGUUUUCAGCCAGUCAGCUUGGGUGGGGAGUAGAACACAGACACUCUAGGAAGAAGAGAGAGGAGUUUGCAUGGCAUCCUGCCUACAUUCAAAUAUCUUAGCAGAAAACCAAUGUGAUAAACCUGGGUAACACAGCAGUGAACUGGAAAGUCCUAAGGAGUAGCUUAAUAGAGAGAUGCUUUCCAGCCAGGUUUGCUGUAGUGGGUAUUUCUGUUAGUGAAUCCUGCAUCCCUACUGAUUGCAUUUUGAAAAAAUCAGACACAGAUUACAUAGAUUCCUUUUUUUUUUUUUUUUUUUUUUUUUUUUUGUCUUUUCAAAGCCCGCACCCGCGGCAUAUGGAGGUUCCUAGGCUAGGGGUCCAAUUGGAGCUGUAGCAGCCAGCCACAGCCACAGCCACAGCAACUCAGGAUCCGAGCCUUGUCUGCAAUCUACACCACAGCUCACUACAAUGCCGGAUCCUUAACCCACUGAGCAAGGCCAGAGAUCAAACCUGAAACCUUGUGGUUCCUAGUCAGAUUCGUUAACCACUGAGCCAUGACAGAAGUCCAGACAUAGAUUCUUUAGAAAUAGGAACCAAUAGCCCAAAAGAGUAUACCAAAAUAUUGAUCAUAGACAGGAUCCUAGAGAGUUAUUACACCCACAUUUUCUCAAAACCUUCAAAUUCUCCCCACUGUCUUAACAGAAUCUAAAUUUUAUAACCUGAAAUUCAAGAGUGGCAUAAUCUGGCCAAUAUCACAUAUUUCUAAUCUUUUGUUAUUCCCCUGCCUUCAAAUAAAUUUAACCUUAAUUAAAAUAAUAUCUACUAUUUAUUGAAUAUAGGCCUGGUUCUCUCUCUGUCUUUCCACCACUCUGUGAGAUAUCUUAUAAUUGAUUCCCUGUGACACAUGAGAAAACAUAAAUCCAAACAGACAAAAAUAAACUGCUAAGGUUAUCUGAUCAGUAGGUGGCAGAGCCAGGUCACUACCUCCAAAGCCCAGAUUUGGGCCUCUGCCUGCGCCCCCCCCAUAGAACUUUCUCUGCUCUGGAAGCAUGUGCACUGCCCCCUUCCUCAUGAAGGGGAAAUGUUCAUAUUCCUCUUGCCUGAUGCUUUUAGUUCUUUGAAGAUUUUUUGUUGCACAACCUGGAACUAGAGUUUUGCAGCUCCAAUGCUCUAUAAAGAAUUUGACUCAUUAGAACAGACCACUCCUAGUGAUUGCUUUGUCAUUUAUUUCUAAUUCCAUUUAUCUGGAUUGGGAGUUGUUCUUGCAGAGUGGAACAUUUUUCCUUCUAUUUUGCUAAGCAAUAAAGAAAAAACUGGAUAAAUGAUGUGUAUUCACUUACGGUAAAUCAGGUUGGUAUGUGAAAUCUCAUCUGAGUUGUCUCUUCUCCAUGGCCUGAUUUUCACAAAGAAUUGAAAAGCAUGUAAAAUGUCCCCUGUUUGGAAGAGUUAAGUAGAAGGGACAGUCUAAAGGCAUGGAGGAAAGAAGACACGAUGCAAUAAUUUUUAUUAUUAUUAUUAUUAUUUUUGCUUUUUUUAGUGCUGCGCCUAGGGCAUAUGGAACUUCCCAGGCGAGGGGUUGAAUCGGAGCUAAAGCUGCCAGCCUACACCAUAGCCACAACUCAGGACCUGAGCCAUAUCUGCUACCUACACCAUGGCUCACAGCAAUGCUGGAUCCCCAACCCACUGCGCAAAGCCAGGGAUCAAACCCACUAGCUGGAUUUGUUUCCACUGAGCCACAAUAGGAACUCCCAAUAAAUUCUUAAGAUUGUCAGGAGAUGCAUGUUCUGAGAAUGUGGAAGCUAAAUUAGUGCUCUUGUCAUAGCCAUUAAGUAAUUAUUAGGUGAUUGUUUUCACAAGUUCUAUUCCAGUGCCUCUAGGCACAUUGACUAGGUUUUUAAAACAAAGAGAUAAUCCUCUCAUGGCUCUUUACAAACUACCACACUGGUAUAAAAAUGUUUAUGGAGAUUUUUGAAUGAAUACAAAGUCCUGGUAAAAUCUGCACAGUACCCAUAAUGUGUUAGUUUUUGUUUUGUUUUUUUUUUUGGCCUUUUAGGGCUGCAUGUGUGGCAUAUGGAAGUUCUCAGGCUAGGGGUCGAAUUGGAGCUGCAGCUGCCAGCCACAACAAUGCCGGAUCCAAGCCAUGUCAAUGACUUACACUACAGCUCAUGGCAACACCAGAUACUUAACCCACUGAGCAAGGCCAGGGAUUGAACCCGCAUCCUCAAUGGAUACUAGUUGGGUUCGUUACCACUAAGCCACAACAGGAACUCCGUGUUAGAUCUUUUUAUCUCUAUGUAUUUCUGUAAAUUCUAUGCAAUAAAACAUUUUCAUAGUACUUUGAAGUUUACAAAGAACAUUUAUAUUACCUCAUUUGAUCUUUAAUUUUUCCUUGAAAGGUAAAUAGAAUAAUUAAAGAUAAGGGAAUGUGACUCAGACAGGGAAGGCAAUUAUCUAUGUAACAGUAUGAUGCAUAGAAGAGAAAGGAUUUGAACCCUGUUUUUAAUUUCAAAGCCAAAGGUCUUUCCAAGCAUAUUCUAGAUAACCAGCACUUGACUGAUCAAGAAGGACAGACCGUAGAAUGACACCUCAAGAAGCUUACAAUGUAGUGGAAGGAUGGACAGAGAAGCCAGUAUAAAGCAGUUUGAGAAUAUAUACAUAGGGUGUAAUGGAAGCUCUGAGGAAAAGUUCAUGUAUCAGCCAAUGGGCUUGUGAGGACUUGUGAACUGAGUCUUAAAGAUUGAGUGGGAUUCAGUCACACAAAGGAUAGGCCAAAAAUAAUGAGGAAUUUCAGGCAGGGAAAGAAUGCAAGCAAAUGCACUGAGGCCUCCACAGCUGGGUGGUGGCAGGUGUGAACUCUGUGCAGUUAAUUGUUGCUGAAGCAGAAAGGACCAGGCAGGGAAGGCUGAUCAAUGAGGUCAAAGACAUCUGCAGAUGUUAGAUCAUGGAAGCCCUCAUACAGACAUGUGUCUAUAGAUACCGGGGAAUUAAGCUUUAAGCAUGGGCUUGGCCUGGUCAGAUUUAUAUUUCAUUAGACUGGUUGACUAUGGUAUGAGGAUAUAUGGAAGUAAAUAGGGAUGAAAGCAGGGAGCCUGGUAUGAAGGCUGUUGUAGAACUCCAGGAGACAGAGAGGAAGCUUGACUUAAUUUGGUAGGAUUUGAUCACUGAUGUGAUGUGGCAGGCAAAGGAGAAAGAGAAGUUGAGGGUUACUUAUAAGUCUAUUUAUAGGUACAAAUAGAAGUUGUGUGGGUAGAAGAGCUCACUUAGGGAGAGUAUGAAAGAGUGGGCAAAUGUGGUGACUUCCAAAAUGUAAAAGGAAGAGAAAUUCACAAAGAACCAGAGACAGAAUUGCCAGAUAUUAUGAAAAUCUCAAAAGGAUGAGUGCCCCAGAUGAGAGGAAACCAGAGCUUCAAAAAGGAAAAGAAUGAUUAACAGCAUCAAAUACUGGAAAGAGAUUCAGUGAGAUAAGCACCGAAAAACUUAUUUUGGAUUUGACAACUAGGAAGUGAUUACUGAUUUCAGUGACAGCUGUUCCAGGGAAAUGAUUGGGCAAGAAGCCACACUGUAGCAGGUUGAGAAGUGAAUAAGAGAUGGGAAACUGGAAGCUGUGAGUGUAGGCAAUUCUUUUGAGGUAUUUGGAUAAAGAUGCUACCUAGUUAGAGGUGAACAUGAAAUAAAGGCAUUUAUAUCUUGGUGGGGGUUUGGGGGGGGUUUGUUUUGUAGGAUGGGGAAAAACAUAUUUUUAUAUUCUGAGGAAGAAGAUUUCAUAGAAGGAAUAAGAGGUGGUGACUGGUAGAAAAAGGAACAGGGGAAAGGAAAAAGUGGUAUCAAGGAUACAUAUACUUUGAGGCUGAGGAAAGAUGAGGCAAUGAAUAGUAAGCUACUGAAAGUUGGAAGAGAUCAUACCAGAGGGAUCAAUUUUUCUCAGUGGAGUUAACAGACAUGAAAUUCUGCUAAAAAUGUAGAGCAUGGGGCAAUGUGUAUGAAACUCAAGAAGCGUAGUAAAGGUUCAGAGAAUUGCUGAGAAGGAAAGGGAACUCAAUCAUGGACGCCUAAGUGGGAAAAGUGGACAUAAAGGCUAGGAGAGAGCAAAAUGAUGGAGGGACCAGGAGUCUCAAGGAGGCAAAUGCCUGGGGCUACCAGAAGGGAGCUGAAGAUUCCUAAGGGGCAGCUCUUCUAGGAGAUGGUCCUUGAGUCUGUGACCGAAGUUGAGGCAAGGUGAUGGCCUCUGGAAAUAAGAGUUCCAGAAUUAUAAGUCUGGGAUGUUGAAUGGUCCAAUUCUUAUCACUGAAACUCCCAGGAUGAUGAUGGCAGGAGUUGGAAUUGAAAGAAAGAUCAUGAAUCGGGUGCCAAAGUCUCCAAUAAAUAAACAGUGGUGAAUGGGAAGCCAGCAGAUGACAGCAACACGGAAGGGACAGUAUCACCAGCAAAGCCUAUUAACACCUCCCAGAAAAUAAAAAUAGAAUCUGGGUAAUAAAAUAAACUCUAACCUUAUAUUCCUUUUCCUUUCCACUUAGUCCUGUUUCAGUUGCUCAUAGGGUCCACAUGCAGAGGCCUCGCAGCACCCAGAAGCCUUGCACCCAGCACUUCAUGCCAGGGUUCCCGGGGCGAAGCUGUUGCGCGGACGCCUCUCCUCAGGCCGGCUGCGGGCUGUACGCAACUCAAGAUGGCGGCCACGUGGAGAGACGCCGCGCCCUGCACCGUGACCUAGAGCAGGAGCAGCAGCUGCGCCAGGCUUGCCAGGACUCCGCCCCCUGCACCUCCCCUCCGAGAACCCAAGAAAGCAUCCCCGCACACAGCUGCCUGAAAGCGUGUGCUCUAGAGGGCAAACUAAACUUGCACCUCUUCUUAGUUCGAUAAAAGACUAAAACUUCCUUUGCUUCUGAACCAGACUCAGCCUCCUACUGGUUUGAAUGACAAUGGGCAGGAGGACUCUUGUUGAGGCCUGACUAUAAAGGGUCAGAAACAAUAGUGGGUUACAUAGCCAAAUAGAACGAAACUCUAAAUAAAUCAUAAUUUUUGCGAAGGUGAAAGCGUAAUGUCUAUAAACACAAGACCAAAUCCAGGAGUAGGUCAACUCCCUUCCCAGCUUAAUGGGACACGAGAAGUAGAAGAAUGAGUAGCUUCCCUUGGGGAAGUGCACAGAGGGCAAUCCAGAUCUCAGCAAAUGAGGGAGAUGAGUGUGGAGUGGUUCACCAUGAAUCAGGGACCCAGGGGCACAGAGCAGAAAAGGGGGAAAGUCUCAAUGGUGAAAAGAAGAUUGGAUCAGCCUUUCAGCGACUGUGAAGCUAGGAGAUGCUGGCCGGGAGGACGUCGGAUCUCGUUGUUCUCCCAAUCUUUCGACCCUCCCCCAAAGCCCCUCAAUAAAGUGCAUUGAUCUCAAAAAAAAAUAAUAAUAAUAAUAAUAAGAUUGGAUCAUUCAAGAAACAGGUGGGAGAGCAGCAGGAGGAGUCAGGUGUGGCCUUUCAUUCUAUGAUAGAUAAUUGCUGAAAUGAUAGAUACCCUGGGUCAGCACCUCAGAGAGUAUCUGCCUGGUCUCAGGGAGACCAUGAGGGCGGCUGGAGGUUUAUACACAGAUUUCCAGAGCCUUCCUCUUGUCUCCUAAUACACAAAAAAAAAAAAAAAAAAAAAAAAAAAAAAAAAAAAAAAA